GCAGAAGAAAUCGUGUGACACUUCACCUUCUGUGUCUGACUCGUUUUGCUCAUCAGGGCCCCAAGUUCCAUCCAUCACCCCGCAAAUGACAGAACUGCACUGCUAUUGAUGAGUCAAAGUCUCUGCACAAGCGCUACCUUUUCUUGUUCCAUUUGGCAGUUGAUGGGCAUCUGGGCGUUCUCAACCACUGGGAGCUGUGCAGCAAUGUGACAACUGAGGCAACUAUCUGGGAAUACUCUCACAUCUCUCCCAUCACCUUCAACCAAAGUAGUGAACCAGCUGGCCAGGGAUGAGAUCACACAACACCACAUCAAAUGAAGAUCAGGAUUUGGCCAAAGAGAAAGAUAAAGAUGAACUAUACAUAGGCAAGUGUUCUUACAGUGCAGAGGAGCGUGCAUUUGUUCCGGCUGACACCUCUUUAAACACAGUGAAUGCAGUCAUCUCCUGAGAGCAUGGAGACCACAGCUGAAGAAUUUUGAAGAACCUUUCUUGAGUCUUCACUUUGUCCCUGGAGCCCACCAGAGAGGGUAAAUUGUAAGCCAGGCUGUGUGUGGUUCAGCCAUGAUACUCUCCAGUGAACUCUCUGCUCCAGCUUGUUCUGCACCAAAUCCAACCAUUUCUGCCCAAACUGGGAGCCAUUUAAGAUGUCACAAGAGUACUAGAUGUGGAAGAAAUUCAGGACUAUGUGCUUCUGUAGUGUGGGUGCCACCCAGAUGCCCAGUUCAUCUUCAUCGUGGAUACACCUGGGCUUGAUAAUGCCCAGGGAUCUAUGGGGGCAGUGCAGGGGGCUGGAGGGAUGCACUUUCUCCCCAUGCCUCAUGCUAUGGGUGACUUGAUGAUGUGAGGCAUUGCAGGGAGUUAGGUUUAAAUCCUGGGGCUCCAGAGCCCCACUUACCUCUACUCCCUCACCCACAUGCUAGGUGGUUCAGGUGAGUUAGCCAAAGCUUUUAGACCCCGGGUCCAAACAACAGCAGUGAUGGCAGCACUUCCUCUUUCCUGGGGCCACGUAGGGCUACUGCAGUGAAUGGAAAGCAAGAGCAAACUCAAGCAUAUAAAGCAGAAGAUGCACAAAUAGUGUGUCUGUUGCUUAGACAAGGACUCUGCCUCAUAAGGUGAUGGGGAAUUUUCUUGGGAGAUUCCUGGAAACUCUGGAGCCCUCUGGGACCAUGGGAGGAUGAUUUUAAAUGAAGAGUAGAAGCAACAGACAGAUGUGGGCACAGUGCCCUCUACCACACAGCAUCUUGCCCAGAAUGCCUAUGUCCACACAGAACAUAGGCGCUGGACCUAGUUUAACUUGGGUACUCCACUUCCUGUUAUGCUGCUUGAGCCUUGUCAUGGUUUGUGCCUGGA